rnacentral:rRNA from 1 species
UACAGAGGGGGGCAAGCGUUAUUCGGAAUUAUUGGGCGUAAAGGGCGCGUAGGCGGCUUGGCAAGUGGAUGGUGAAAUCCCUCGGCUUAACCGAGGAACUGCCGUCCAAACUGCUUUGCUUGAGGCCGGGAGAGGCGAGUGGAAUUCCCGGUGUAGCGGUGAAAUGCGCAGAUAUCGGGAGGAACACCAAUGGCGAAGGCAGCUCGCUGGGACGUGACUGACGCUGAGACGCGAAAGCGUGGGGAGCAAACAGG